UACGGGGGGGGCAAGCGUUGUUCGGAAUUACUGGGCGUAAAGAGCUCGUAGGCGGCCCACUAAGUCCGACGUGAAAUCCCCAGGCUUAACUUGGGAACUGCGUCGGAUACUGGUGGGCUUGAAUCCGGGAGAGGGAUGCGGAAUUCCAGGUGUAGCGGUGAAAUGCGUAGAUAUCUGGAGGAACACCGGUGGCGAAGGCGGCAUCCUGGACCGGCAUUGACGCUGAGUGAGCGAAAGCCAGGGGAGCAAACGGG
rnacentral:rRNA from 1 species